UACGAAGGGGGCUAGCGUUGCUCGGAAUUACUGGGCGUAAAGCGCACGUAGGCGGCUUCUUAAGUCGGUGGUGAAAUCCUGGAGCUCAACUCCAGAACUGCCUUCGAUACUGGGAGCUCGAGUCCGGGAGGGGUGAGUGGAACUGCGAGUGUAGAGGUGAAAUUCGUAGAUAUUCGCAAGAACACCAGUGGCGAAGGCGGCUCACUGGCCCGGUACUGACGCUGAGGUGCGAAAGCGUGGGGGAGCAAACAGGGAU
rnacentral:rRNA from 1 species